AUGAACGCUGGCGGCGUGCUUAACACAUGCAAGUCGAGCGAUUAAAGCUCACUUCGGUGAGUGUAUAGAGUGGCGAACGGGUGAGUAACACGUGGGAAACCUGCCCCUUUCUUCGGGAUAACUUCGGGAAACCGUUGCUAAUACCGGAUACUCCGGGAUGGUCGCAUGGCCGACCCGGGAAAGCUUUAUGUGGAAAGGGAUGGUCCCGCGGCCCAUUAGCUUGUUGGUGGGGUAAUGGCCUACCAAGGCGAUGAUGGGUAGCCG
rnacentral:rRNA from 1 species